rnacentral:lncRNA from 1 species
AACUCUAAAAUUAACUAACGUUAUAAAUUAAAAGUGUAAGGUAGGUCUACAUCCAAACUUAAAAUUAUAUAAUAUAUUUUUCUAUGAAAAUAUUUAAUAAUAUUAAUGAAAAGGUCUUUUCGUACACUCUAUCUUCGAAUUAUAAAUUUUAAUUCAGAUCUAUAAUAAAAAUAAAGUUGGAAAUAAUUGGCUUUUCUUUUUUUUUGCAUCGGGAAUUAUGUAAGAUGACCCCAUGCGGGCAUGCCUCGAACAUGUGUAAUCCUAAAGUCGGACAAUCUUAAGUAUAAGUGUCUCCUAAUUGCAGCUGUAUUAUUAUUUCUCAGCCCUUCGUUUUAAGCACCAACGGUGACAGAUCUGCCCAUUUGUU